UGCCAGCCGCCGCGGUAAUACGGAGGGUGCAAGCGUUAAUCGGAAUUACUGGGCGUAAAGCGCGCGUAGGUUGUCUGUUAAGCGAGAUGUGAAAGCCCCGGGCUUAACCUGGGAACUGCAUUUCGAACUGGCAGACUAGAGUACAGUAGAGGGUGGCGGAAUUUCCUGUGUAGCGGUGAAAUGCGUAGAGAUGGGAAGGAACAUCAGUGGCGAAGGCGGCCACCUGGACUGAUACUGACACUGAGGUGCGAAAGCGUGGGGAGCAAACAGGAUUAGAUA
rnacentral:rRNA from 1 species